GUGCUUACUUCAUCAGCACAUAUACUGUAAUUGCAAUGAUACAGAGAUUAGCAUGGGCCUGCACAAGGAUGGCAUGCAAAUUUGUGACAUGUUCCAUAUUUUU